GUUGUAUUCUGUUCUUCUAGUUAUAUUAUCUAUAGUACUAUUGAAUUUAGGGUUUGGUUUUUUUUUUUUCACUUGUUAUUUUGGAUUUUUGUUUCUAAAAGUUUAGGCCUUGCUUGUGUUAUGGUCCGAAUUUAUUGUAGCUGUCUUCGCUUAGUACUGUACAAUCAACAAUUAUUUCUUCAUUCUUAGUUUUUAUUUGCUAUUUUCUUUUUACAUGUUUGUGGAAAGUUGCAUCAAUAAAUUUUGUGUCUGAUAUCCCCAUAUUCAAAAGUUGAGAAAAAAAGAGAGAAAGGUCAAAAAAAAAAAAUUAAGAAAAACAGAAAAAUAAUAAAUUUGUGAAAAGAAUUACGAAUGGGGAGCCCAGGAAUAAGCACCCGAAAUAAUGGGGGUAAGCAACAGCGGUUAGGCAUUACAGAGCCCAUUUCCUUGGGUGGACCAACAGAGUACGACGAGAUAAAGACCCGAGAACUUGAAAAGGUUCAUUUUUGGUAUUGUUUGUUCUUGUUUCCUUAUUCUGAUCUUGUCAAAGUAGUAGUUCUAUAAAUUUUUGAAUGUGAGUAUUUGUGGCAUGCCCAGUUUUUGCAAGAUGUGGGACUGCAUGAGAGUCAGGAGGAAGCUGUGCUUAGAGAGGAAGUGCUUGGGAGGCUAGACCAGGUUGAACUAUUUAUGUAUACAUGUAGCUUUGUUCCUCACCUGAAGAAUAAUUGUUCUCUACUUGUUGAAGUUUACUAUAUUUUCUUAGGAAUUUAGUACAGUUCUUGAUUUGUCUAAGCUGCCUAAAUGUGCUUGUUGUUGAUAAUAUAAAAUGGAACAGAUUGUGAAGAAUUGGGUCAAAGCUAUUAGCCGCUCAAAAGGGUUGAAUGAGCAACUUGUACAAGAAGCAAAUGCUAAGAUUUUCACCUUUGGUUCUUAUCGGCUGGGAGUGCAUGGCCCUGGUGCAGAUAUAGACACGCUUUGUGUGGGGCCUAGACAUGCAACACGAGAAGAAGAUUUUUUUGGCGAGCUAUAUAGAAUGCUUUCGGAGAUGCCUGAAGUGACAGAGUUGCAUCCUGUUCCUGAUGCGCAUGUUCCAGUAAUGAAAUUCAAGUGUAAAGGUGUUUCUAUAGAUCUUCUUUAUGCAAAGUUGUCCCUUUGGGUGAUUCCCGAAGAUUUAGACAUUUCACAGGACUCGAUACUACAAAAUGCUGACGAACAAACCGUCCGCAGUCUUAAUGGUUGCAGAGUUACUGAUCAGAUUUUGCGUUUGGUGCCAAAUAUUAGGAAUUUCCGAACAACAUUGCGAUGCAUGAGGUUUUGGGCAAAACGCCGUGGUGUUUAUUCAAAUGUUGCAGGUUUUCUUGGUGGUAUAAAUUGGGCAUUACUUGUUGCUCGUAUAUGCCAGCUAUAUCCCAAUGCAUUGCCCAAUAUGCUAGUAUCUCGGUUCUUUAGGGUAUAUACUCAAUGGCGUUGGCCAAAUCCAGUCAUGCUCUGUGCCAUUGAAGAAGGAUCUCUUGGUCUUCAGGUUUGGGAUCCUAGAAGAAAUCCAAAAGACAGGUUCCAUUUGAUGCCUAUUAUUACACCUGCGUAUCCUUGUAUGAAUUCUAGCUACAAUGUGUCAUCCAGCACUUUGCGCAUAAUGACAGAAGAGUUUCGGAGGGGCAAUGAGAUUUGUGAGGCUAUGGAGGCAAACAAGGCUGAUUGGGAUACCCUUUUUGAGCCUUUUUCGUUCUUUGAAGCAUACAAGAAUUAUCUACAAAUAGACAUUAAUGCAGAAAAUGAAGAUGAUUUGAGAAAUUGGAAAGGGUGGGUUGAAUCUCGUCUCCGUCAGCUUACAUUGAAGAUUGAGAGGCACACUUACAAUAUGCUUCAGUGCCAUCCACAUCCAGGCGAAUUUACAGACAAAUCUAGACCUCUACACUGUUCGUACUUUAUGGGUUUGCAACGUAAACAAGGGGUUCCUGUAAAUGAUGGUGAACAGUUCGAUAUAAGGUUAACUGUUGAGGAAUUUAAACACUCUGUCAACAUGUAUAACUUAUGGAAGCCUGGAAUGGAGAUCCAUGUAACCCAUGUAAAACGGAGGAAUAUGCCUAGCUUUGUUUUCCCUAGUGGUAUUCGUCCUUCUCGUCCAUCAAAAGCAACUUGGGAUAGCAGGCGAAGUUCAGCUGAAAAGUCAUCUGAAUGUAAAGGAGUUUCCGAUGGGUUUGAUGAUGGAAGGAAGAGAAAGCGAAUUGAUGAUAAUGUAGCAAAUACCAUGAAAGUUGCCAAGUCCUUUGCUGGUUCUUCUUUGAAUGGGGAAUUUAACGAGGGAAACCCUUCUGCUGGUGUUUUUGUGGGAGGUGUCUUUGCUAGUGCAAAUUUGAUAGGGGAGCCAAAGGAAGAAAAAGAAGAGAGUAAUAGAACAGAUGGCAUUAACAAUAUAAAAAGCUUAGCAGGGAAUCUUGUUCAAAAUGGGGAGCUUAAUUCUCAAACUAAAGAUUUGUCUGCCACCAAUGAUGCUCCUUUCUCUAAGGAGGCUGAGAAGCUGGCAAUUGAGAAAAUAAUGUCUGGUCCUUAUGUUACUAACCAAACUUUACUGCAAGAGCUUGAUGAGCUUGAAGAUGAUUUUGAAUAUAGAAAUCAGGUCAAAGAUUCAGGAGUAAAUGCAAAAGACAGUUCAGUGGAAUCUACAUCAGCAAAUACAACAGCAACAUCGUUGGCUAAUGUACCUGUAUCUCCACCAGUAACAUCCAGCUAUGGAGCUGGUCCAUCUACUUCAUGUCCUAGUGGCGACUUGGAGGAACUUGAGCCUGCUGAACUUGUGGCACCAUUAUCUAAUGGGUUCUCUUCUACGGCACCUGUGGCACAGCAGAAGCCACUUAUCAGGUUGAGCUUCACUUCUUUAGGUAAAGCCAGUGGCAAAAGCACAUAAAGGGAUGUUAAGCAUAAGCUGGAGCAAAUCUUGUGCUUGUGCAGUUUUUUUAUGAGAGCCAAAUGAAAAAGAGAAAAUUUUUUUUAUCCCUACUUUUGUAACGUUGACAUCCUAUAAUUAAUAAAUCAAUCUCCCAUUUCUCGUAAUAUUUGAUAUUGGAAAGCUUAUUCUAUUUCUGUU
rnacentral:misc_RNA from 1 species